rnacentral:rRNA from 1 species
AUUGAACGCUGGCGGCAUGCCUUACACAUGCAAGUCGAACGGCAGCACGGGAGCAAUCCUGGUGGCGAGUGGCGAACGGGUGAGUAAUGUAUCGGAACGUGCCCAGUCGUGGGGGAUAACGUAGCGAAAGAUACGCUAAUACCGAAUACGAUCUGUGGAUGAAAGCGGGGGACCGUAAGGCCUCGCGCGAUUGGAGCGGCCGAUAUCAGAUUAGGUAGUUGGUGGGGUAAAGGCCUACCAAGCCGACGAUCUGUAGCUGGUCUGAGAGGACGACCAGCCACACUGGGACUGUGACACGGCCCAGACUCCUACGGGAGGCAGCAGUGGGGAAUUUUGGACAAUGGGCGCAAGCCUGAUCCAGCAAUGCCGCGUGCAGGAUGAAGGCCUUCGGGUUGUAAACUGCUUUUGUACGGAGCGAAAAGGCUCUCUCUAAUACAGGGGGCUCAUGACGGUACCGUAAGAAUAAGCACCGGCUAACUACGUGCCAGCAGCCGCAGUAA